CUCAUUUGUGUAUAUAGACUGCGAGGGCCAAACGUAAGUUUGUGGCUGAGGGCUUGACAACUUUGGUUGAUGUUGGGGGUGGCAUAAGCAAAAUUGCUAAGGCCAAUGCCCAAACCUUUCCUAGCAUCAACUGCACUGUGUUUGAUCCCCCACAUAUAAUUGCUAAUCAAGAAGGAGCUGAGAACUUGGACUUCGUUGCUGGAGAUUUGUUUGAAAGUGUACCCCAUGCCAAUGCAAUCUUACUCUAGUAGAUCCUCCAUGAUAGGAGUGAUCAAGACUGAAAAUUCAAAAGAACUGCAGAAAGGUCAUUCCAGAGAAAGACUGGUGGUAAAGUGAUCAUUAUAGAUAGUCUAAUGGAAAGCCAGAUACAAGAUAAAGUACAACUUCAAACACAGAUCGACAUGGACAUGCAGAUGCUGAUCACGUUCGGUCCUGCUACAGAAAGAACUGAGAAGGAAUGGGAAAACUCUUUGUGGAUGCUGGAUUUAAGCUACCAAGUAUAUCCAGUCUGGGUGCAAGGUGUCUGGUUGAGGUUUAUCCUCAGAUAGAGGAACACUUGCUACUGUGAAUGAAUGAUUAAUUGUCGGUUUUACU